CCGCAGAGCCAUCGCCCCCGCCCUGGGGCUCGGCGGCCGGGGACCACCGCGGGGCGUGGGGGCAGAGGGAGCGAGCGGGGAGGGGCCGCCAGGGAAAAGGAACCGAAGGGAUGGAGCUGGUGCUGCUUGGUCCCUCCGUGGGCAGCAGGCUCCUGCGUUUCCCCGGGAUCGGGUGUCUCCUGCUGGGGUGUACCUGCGCUGGGGGUGGCCGUGGGGUGACGGAGCAGGAAGGCAGGCGUGGGCUCUGCUUGGCUGCGGCACAGCCGCUCUCUUUCAGGGCUUGAAGCAGAGCAGGAGAUGCUGCCUCCACCAGGCUCUCGGCAAAUCCCUGCACAGGCAGAGCGGUGCCCCUGCCCUUGGUACCUGGCUUUGGGAGAAGGGCAGCACAGCUCAGGCAACUUGGACCCAUCUGGAGGUCAUUCACUGUAAGAGGCCUAUGGACACUAAAGAGAGCUUAACUCAGAAGAGCCAGUGGCUACAAGGAAGCUCCUGUUGAGCCUCUCGGCAGCGUGCCCUGCACAAAUGGAACCGUGGGGAAAUUGAGAUGAUAAAUCUGUUGCUGUUGAGCAUGCACAAGGCUGUGUCCUCCAAGCCCUGGAAAGGCCCAGACUCUUAACAGAUUCCUUGGGAUGUAAAAAAAAAGCUUAUUCAAAAGCUUUCAGCAUCUCAAGUCUCUGCUUGAACAUCUAGAGACCAUAGAAGAAAGCUAGCCAGUUGGGAAGAUUUAAUGUACUCCAAACAAAAUAUAGAUACUUGAAAUAGAUUAAUGUUUUAAAUCUGUAAUUGUUAAUAAAAAUACCCCCAUCUUGAGUUGGUGUUGGCUGUGAAAUAUUUUAGUUGAGAUGGUUCAAGUUUAGCGCAGAAUUACAAGAAUGUAAAGCCAGAGUCUUGUAAUGAGAGAUGCCUGGUGACCUUCAGAAUGUUUAUUAUAAGCAUCCCUUGCCAAUCCAGUGAUGCAUAUGCACAAAUAAAUAAUUUUCUAUGAAUUGGACAGUAGAUUGAUUAUCAUCAGGGUUUUUUUUUUCAUUAAAGCUGUAUUGCAGUUUGAUUUUAUACAUCAGAAUAAUUCUCUGAAGCUAAAUGGACUAUUUGUAUGCACUGAAAUAUACUAAUUUUAAUCUCUGUGAUUGUGAUCUAACAGCAAGACCAGCUUCAAAUUGUAACCUGUGACACAUUUUCACCAAAUGAUUUUGUUUAAAAAGAAGAAGUUAGCUUUGGGAAUGAUGUGAGGGACACAAUGAAUCAUGAGGAUGCUGUCAUCAGUUUUGAUAACUCAUUUUAUUUAAAAGGAACAAAAAUGAAAAAAUGACUCAAAGGUCACUCAUCACCAUUACCUAGCUAUGUGAAGCCUUACUGAGUUGUAACUACUGAAUUGUUUUAUGCAAAAUUUAGAAGACUUGGAAAGGUGCUGAUAUGAAAUACAUACAGCAGUGCAUUCUUUAGAUUGUCUUAGCUCCUGAUUGGAAGUAUUAUUAUUUCUAGAGGUACUUAAGAUCUAGCUCCUCAAGGAGACAUGCUUGAUAGAGUUUACUUACACAUAAGGCUGCUUACAUUUGAAUAAGUGUCUUGAAUAGCAUUAUAGGUUUGUCUUUUAAUAAAGCAGGUGAGAUAUGGCAGUAAGGACAUUUGAGACUGAAAGUUGCUUUGAUAUUUUAGUAGACCCUAGUAAUGCGUGAUACUUGUGGUCCUUGGGGAAGAUGUAGGAAUAAUUAAACAAAUGUUGCCUACUUUCUGUCCCAACUAGAAAAAUAUUUGAAAAACUCCUAAUGAGACUUACAGUGUAGUUGUUUGUCCAGGGUGAAAAAUUGCCAGCUCUCUGUGAAAAUACCGAGUUAGUUUCAGAUGAGCAGGUCACAGCUAAUUAACUCAGCUGCCCUCAUAGUUGUGCUGAAACAGCUGUUCUGCUUUUCAAGUCUCAGCUGUCUCACCCAGUGCUGGCUUUGUGUGGCACAGCACCGGGUUCUGCAGCUCUCUGUGGUUUCCAAAGGUCAGCACUUAGGAUGGACAUUCCCCUUCCAUCCUGUUCUCAUGGAAGACACAUGACCAUGAGCCAGUUACUCAUAAAGAGCUGUGGUGGCAUUUGACUAGCAGCUUGCAAGAAGUUCUUGUGUGUCUGCAGUGUCUGUCCAGGAACAACCCGUGAGGCAGAAUAAGGAGUGAGGUAAAACACUGAUUAAAAUGUUUGAUGAGCUGCAGUAUGGUUAUGUCCAGAAGAGUGAGCUUUUCUCAAUGUAAUGAACUGCUUUUGUAUCUCUAGAAUGGCCUGAGGAUCCUAGGUGAGUGAAUGAUAAACACAGUUCAGCUGUGCUGGUUAUUCAGACUUUUUCCAAGAUCAUUCUUAAAAUGAAUUUUGGGUGGGUUUGUUGUAUUGUUGUUUUUGCAUAUUUGAGUUUGCAUAUGGACCCUCUGACUUCUGGAAUUCAAAGGAACAGCCAACAAAAUUCUACCAUGAUCUUUUCCUUUUGUGAAAGGGAAGCCACACAGAGUUGUGUAUGACUUCAGCAGAACACAUGAAUUUACAGAAAAAGAUGGUGGCAAAUUUCAUAUAUUUACUUUCCAUGAGAAGUGAUUAGGCAUUUUGUUUGUGCAGUCUAUGUGGUUGUUCUGUAAUUUCUGAGUGAGCAUACAUCUCUCUGUAUUCCUCAGAAAAAGUACAUCACUAUUCAGUGUAAGCAAUGGUCCAGUAAGAUAUCUAAGAGGCUUUCUGUUAGGUCUGCUGAAGAUAAAUUUGUAUAGCCUGUACAAAAGUGUGGAGGUGAUUGUACUGUAAAAAAGCUGCUAUAGGAGAUGUCAGUGAAAUUUCAACAUCAGUAUAAAAUUAGAGAAAGAUAAGGCAGUGGGUAAUGUUUCCCACCAGCAUGACUGUAGCAAUGCUUGAUGUUAUGGCUUUCUUGGUUGCUUGUUAUCACCUUUGUUCUGGUGUUUAUCAUCCACAGAGGUUUGCAGACACAGUGGAUCCUAUGCACUGCACUUUUACUGAAGCAUAUGAGAGCAAUCAUGCUCCUUGUCUUUAUGUUUGCAGGGAUAAGUCUGAAAACAUAAACUCGGUGUAAAUCAGUGCAGGAAGGUCUGUUGAACCUGUAACUCCAUGAGGUAUGAACUCCCCCCUUGUCUCAAAUAGGACUCUGUCAAUACCUGGUCUGAUUUAAGGCUGUGUUGAAGGAAUUCUUUCCUCAUGGGUGAGAGUGAUGCUGGAAGGAGUUGGGUCUGUGAGCUGUUGGCUGAGGAGGGCUUUAGCUGUAGCACCACAUUGCUACCAGAUGUAUAAGCUUUGCUGAUUGAGUUGUUUUGUGAUGACUCAUUGAAGUUAGAGUUUGAAAGGGAAGAUUUUUGCCAGUUCUGGUGUUCGGUGAAAUGCGAGUAGCUGUCAUUUUCCUCAUGGGCUUUGAGAGCAUUUCUUGCAUUUGAUUUCUUGUGAGUGCAAAGCAAGACUGCUCAAGAGUUGUUACCAUUAAAGAUAAGUACAUUGCUGGCUGAGUGUUGAUAAUAAACUGGGUUUGCAUCUCAGGAACUUGACACUAAGCCUACAACCAGUUAGUGACUCCAGAUGGGCUAAUUAUCAUUGAUUUUAAUAAAUGAGUGAUAAUUUCAAACACUUACUUGCAACUGAAGUCCAUUCUGAGGCAGGGGUGUUUUUUUCUGGUGUACUGUGUAUUGUGAAGAUGAAUAGCAGUUCUGCCUGCAUAUAGAUUUGCAAAAUGAGGAGAAUCUUUUUAAUAGUCUCAGGGUUUGGGACAGCAAAUAAUUAAAAUAACAUUUAGUUAAAAAGACUUUAGAGCUUUUAAUUUAUAGCAAUGAAGAGAAACCAUUACCUCUAAAGAAUUCACAUUAUUUUUACUAGCCAUCUUUGCCAUGCACAUUUCUGCUUCUGCAUUCAGCAGAAACUAUUUCUACUGGUCUCAGAGUGUGAGAACUUCAGCUUAAAAGUUUUUCUGUGUCAGGCACCUGCACGUCUCUUGGUCGUAGUUCUGACCACUGAAUAAAAUGCUUUUUAUUGAUGACAAAAAUAUUUGGGUUUAAGUAUAUUUUACAUUUGAGAAUAUAAAAUAUGAUUGACACUCACCUGUUCAUUGUGUUGUAAUUAAGGUUAAACUGGUGUUUAAAAGCCUUGCAGGAAUUUACAGCAUUGUAGUUCUAGCUGCUUUUCAGAUGGUCAUGCUUUCUGUGUUGAGGAAAUGGAGACCAGCUAUUUAAUUGUGCCUAAGCCAGGACUAGUCUAUUUUUGAUAAUGUCUGGUGGGUAAUUUUACUAAGAUCUUGGAAGUGCAGUUGAGUACUGAGGCUCCUUGCUAGGAGAUUGGGCACAGCGUGAGAAAGUCUAAGGGUGAGAUGAGAAACUGCAGGAGAGGCAUGAGGCAAGAUCGGACAACUGGCGAGGAGUGAAGCUAGGCUCAGAACACGACUCUCUUGGGUCCCAUCAAGCACUGCCUUCUCUGAAGAGAGAUGGUAAUGCUAUGUUGACUAGCAGUCCGUUAGCUAGACAGCUCUGAGUUGUACACGUAGUUCCUUAACUACAGGCUAUUUACAGCAUGGCUCCAAUCACAGACCCUGAAUUUUAAGAUUGUCGAUGACCUGACAGUGUCAAAUUACACAAUUCUUAUCUGUUGCAUGAUUGUGCUCCUGAUAGGUUAACAUCAGUCUUAAACAUACUUUGUUACCUAUUUCUGAUGUUUUACCAUCUCCCUUCCUUUGCUGAUUCUUUUACACCUCAUGUGUACAGGCAAGAACUGCAUUUGGAAAGGUCAUAAUACCUCUUUAAUGGCUCAGCAGAUUGUCCACAUCUUCUUUUUCAUUAAUCUUUUCCUGAUUACCUGCUUUACUGUUACUGGUUCUUCAGUUCUGAGAGUAUAAGCAGUGUAAAAAGAGACCCGAUCCACACAUCAAAGGGCUUUUGUUGACUCAGGAGCUGGACUUGAUCCUUGUGGGUCCAUUCUAGUUCAGGAUAUUCUGUGUUACCAGAAAGCUUAGUCAAGGAAAACAAACAGCGGGCCUCCAUAAGAAAUAAAGGAAAACAGUCCAGAGGUCACCUUGAUAUAUGGGUGUUAUGUACAAUUGUAGUUGCAAUACAGCACAUGAAAAAGCACAUUUAUUUGUCCAUGGGAAGCCCAUUCCACCAUGAGGGAAGAGUGUGACAGGAAGGGAAUGAAGUGCUUGGUUUGUAGAGAUGUCUGGGAUAACCCAGGGAAGUGAGAAUACAGGAGAGACACUGUUACAGUAAUUACCCCAUCUUCAUUUUUAACUGAAAUAACAUCUUGCUUUUUUUAUUGCCCCAAUACUGGGAGUUAAUUGAAGAAAAAAAUCAGUGAAAGACAACCACAAAAAAUCAGUGAAACUUUUCAAGUAUUUGCUUUUCCCUUUUCUACCAUCUGUAGUUACUUUUGCCAGAGAAUGUUCUCACUCAGCAAUUUUCCAGUGACUUCAAGGUAACUCUUUUUUUUGUUUCUUUCUUGCUUCUCCACUAUGUUAAUUCUUUACCAUUUCUUUCUAAACCCUGAUAUGUUUGAUGAAGAGAAAGUGUUAGCAGUUUAUGAGUCUAUAACCCCUUCAACGUGAUUUUCUAGUAAUUUUGUUAGCUCCUUACAAAUGCUCCCACUUUACAGAUCUGGCUCCUGUAGUCUUCUGGCCAUGGCUCCAGAAUCAUUAGUGCUGGGUCACCCAAUGAUUCAAAUUUUGUCUGGGUCAGGUAUGGAUGCAUGAUCAUAUUUCUGCUGAACUAUUUGGAAAACCAGGAGUUUAUGGGUUUUUUUUUCUUUCUUCUGAGAAGACUGGCAACACCUGUUUAGAAUAAAACAAUAUUUUUAUCUGGAUUUAUUUACUGUGAUAUGAAGACUGCAUGUCCAGACAAAAUGUUCCGCUCAAAACCUUGUUCACAGCCAAAAAGGCAGCAUGUUUUUAUGUAGCAAAGAAUUUCUUCUUAGCAUAACUGAAUUUUUGGAAGUCUAAUCAUGAUUAAUCCAGAUGCAAUUAUUACACAAAAAUAAUGAAUAAUAAUGCAGUAAAAAUUGUUGUACCUUUAGUUCUUGGUUUCUAUCCCUCUUCCUGGUGUUACAUUCACCCCUCUUCUAAUCCAGUGGGUUCCAAGAUUGCUGAUUUUAUCUUGGUAGCAAAUUGUCAGCAUCUGGAAUCCUUUCCUGAGAGAGGUAUGAUGUUCAUUAUGUUGCUCUCCCUCCCUCCCUCCCUCUCCCUCCCUCCCUAUUUCUCCCUCUUUAAAUGACCUGAGGUCAUUUUAGUAUGUUUGGUAAAACAACUUUACACCUGUCUCUUUUCUUCAUUGGUCUGCAGUUCCACAUUGCAUCUGAAUUUUGCUAUAUAUAGUUGCUUUUAUGGGUAUUAGAUACCAUUUCUUUGUUCUCUUUGUUAUCUCUGAAGCCAGUUUUGUCCAGCUCCAGGUCUGCAUUUCUUUGGUUGACCAUUGGUGAUUAGUUUAUGGCCAUGGUCUCAGAUGCCAAGCCUGUUGCCCUGUUUUUCUCAUCCUGUGCCUCUACUCUUCCAUGCCACAUCCUGUGUCUCCACUCCCCCAGUCCUCUGCUGUGGUACCAGGCUGUUACAUUUCUCUCUACAAAGUUUCUGCGUUAGUGGUAAAUAUUCUAUAUAGAAUAGCUGCUUUUUACUGCUGCCUGUGCAAAACUCUGGUUGUACCACACACAAGCAAAAAUAAAAUAGAAGGGAUAUACGUACCCGACCAGUUACAGAAAUUGUAGUCACACCUAGACCAGUUAAUCCAAAGCUACAAGCAGGCUAAGAAAAGGCAAAGCAAAAGUGACAUGUUCAAGGCCUUGAAAAUGCACUACAGAGCUUAUGGCCUAUGAAGAACAAUGGCAGUACUGGAUGACAGGGCUAGAGGUUAACCCAACUAUUUUUUCUGUACAAAAUAUAACUGCUGGAGUGAAUAUACCUGUGAUCAUUGCUUGAUGUUCUGUGAUUGAAGUGUUUGUUGCAUUUUUACCCUGGUACAAAAUGAACUGGUAUAUGAAGUACUGAGCUGAACCACAGCCUCAUUCAUACCUUUUGCCUUUAGUGAAAAUAAAGUAUUUCUGCUGUUUUUAUUGCUGUUUUAAUAAAUCCUAUUGUUGACUUCA